ACAGUGAGUAGAAUCUGGUAUUAGUGAAUAUUGCUCAAGUUUAAGCAAGGGAGAACAUCAGGAAGGAAGAAGACUUUGCCACCAUGAUGUGUUUAACUAAGUCAAAAGACAAUGAUUUUAUCUUCCUGGUUCAGAAGUCAUCAACAUUGGGGCUGUGGAAAUUAAAAGCAUCCUUGGUAUAAAACAGAGAUACAACCGACAGAAAUUUUGCAAUAAAUCUUCAAGCAGACAAAAUAGCCUUGUUUCUUUUCGGCACUGACAGGAAAAACAGGACAGAAAAUGGAGCAGAGAUUGAAGAAAGGGCCAUCUGAGGACUGUCCCUCCUGGAAUCCAUCCUGUCUGCAGACACCAAACCUGACACUGCUGCUGUUGCCAAGGGGCACAUGUGGCUGCUCCUUAGAAGGUUCAAACAGCAACUGUCCAAAGCAGACAUGGAUGCUUGGAGACUGAGCUCAGGAACCAGGAAUAUAACUGGGAAGAACUGAACCAGUUUUCCUUCCUUGGACUCUGGAUUGAAGAGGACCAGAAUUACAAACACUUACCAUGAUGCUAGUCUGUGGCCUAAUUAUGUAAUUGGAGGUAAAUGUCAUGUUGUUAAAUAAUAAAACAAUGCCUGCC